rnacentral:rRNA from 1 species
CAAGGCUUGACAUCCUCUUGAAAGGCUUAGAGAUAAGUCCCCUCUUCGGAGCAAGGGAGACAGGUGGUGCAUGGUUGUCGUCAGCUCGUGUCGUGAGAUGUUGGGUUAAGUCCCGCAACGAGCGCAACCCCUAUUAUUAGUUGCCAGCACUUCGGGUGGGCACUCUAAUGAGACUGCCGGUGAUAAACCGGAGGAAGGUGGGGAUGACGUCAAAUCAUCAUGCCCCUUAUGUCUUGGGCUACACACGUGCUACAAUGGUCGGUACAACGGGGUGCGAAGGAGCGAUCCGGAGCGAAUCCCAAGAAGCCGAUCUCAGUUCGGAUUGCAGGCUGCAACUCGCCGCAUGAAGUUGGAGCUGCUAGUAAUCGCGAAUCAGAACGUCGCGGUGAAUGCGUUCCC